AAGGAUCAUUACAGAGUUCAUGCCCGAAAGGGUAGACCUCCCACCCUUGUGUAUUAUUACUUUGUUGCUUUGGCGAGCUGCCUUCGGGCCUUGUAUGCUCGCCAGAGAUUACCAAAACUCUUUUUAUUAAUGUCGUCUGAGUACUAUAUAAUAGUUAAAACUUUCAACAACGGAUCUCUUGGUUCUGGCAUCGAUGAAGAACGCAGCGAAAUGCGAUAAGUAAUGUGAAUUGCAGAAUUCAGUGAAUCAUCGAAUCUUUGAACGCACAUUGCGCCCCUUGGUAUUCCGGGGGGCAUGCCUGUUCGAGCGUCAUUUCAACCCUCAAGCUUAGCUUGGUAUUGAGUCUAUGUCAGUAAUGGCAGGCUCUAAAAUCAGUGGCGGCGCCGCUGGGUCCUGAACGUAGUAAUAUCUCUCGUUACAGGUUCUCGGUGUGCUUCUGCCAAAACCCAAAUUUUUCUAUGGUUGACCUCGGAUCAGGUAGGGAUACCCGCUGAACUUAA
rnacentral:rRNA from 1 species